rnacentral:rRNA from 1 species
GUAGGUGGCAAGCGUUGUCCGGAAUUAUUGGGCGUAAAGCGCGCGCAGGCGGUUCUUUAAGUCUGAUGUGAAAGCCCACGGCUCAACCGUGGAGGGUCAUUGGAAACUGGAGAACUUGAGUACAGAAGAGGAAAGCGGAAUUCCACGUGUAGCGGUGAAAUGCGUAGAGAUGUGGAGGAACACCAGUGGCGAAGGCGGCCUUCUGGUCUGUAACUGGCGCUGAGGCGCGAAAGCGUGGGGAGCAAACAGGGAUUAGAUACCCUGGUAGUCCACGCCGUAAACGAUGAGUGCUAAGUGUUAGGGGGUUUCCGCCCCCUUAGUGCUGCAGCUAACGCAUUAAGCACACCGCCUGGGGAGUACGGCCGCAAGGCUG